rnacentral:rRNA from 1 species
GACGAACGCUGGCGGCGUGCCUAAUACAUGCAAGUCGAACGCAGUGGGGCCGGGUUAGUAACACGUGGGUAACCUCCCCUCAGAGGGGAUAACACUUGGAAACAGGUGCUAAACCGAUACUGAUGGAUGGACCCGCGGUGCAUUAGCUAGUGGGUUCGGUACCGGCUCACCAAGGCCACGAUGCAUAGCCGACUGGAGAGGGUGAUCGGCCACACGUGGACUGAGACACGGCCCAGACGACUCAGGGAGGCAGCAGUAGGGAAGCUUCGGCAAUGGACGAAAGUCUGACCGAGCAACGCCGCUUGAGUGAAGAAGGUUUUCGGAUCGUAAAACUCUUUUGUUAGAGAAGCGGUAUCUAACCAGAAAGCCACGGCUAACUACGUGCCAGCUGCCGCGGUAAUUC